rnacentral:piRNA from 1 species
GGAUGACACGCAAAUUCGUGAAGCG